CCCAGUGGAACUGUUAUUGUAUCUAAGAUGGACCAGACCUUCCCUCUGCGGAGAUGGGAGAUUGUGGAGGCUGAACCUCCAGUGAAAACCCUGAAGGAACGCUGGCCAGCUCUUUUUACAGAGAGACAAGUGUUUGCUGAGUUCAAGAGGAUAGCUACAACAUCCUGGAGAAUGACUUUUUUGGUGCUGUUGAUCGCUAUACACCACGCUUUGUCACAAUCUUCAAGUCCAAGAAAGGAAGUGUUGGAGAGAAACUGGCUGAAAUUGUGCAGCAAAUUGAUUCAAGGAAACCAGAUGUGACAGCAGUGCGUACCCUUGUUCUCCAAGGCAUCCUGUUCUACUUGGUGAUGAUCCCAGUAACUUCUACAACACCUACUUUGAUUCUGACAGUGAUGAGGCCUGGGCCCAGGUAUCUGUUGGGUUGCUGAUUGUCAUUAGUGAAGAUGCGCCUCUCUCUCCAAAUCAUCUCCAUCUUGACCCAGCGUCUACCGCUAUCAUUCUUGAAGGAGCUAUUGUAAUAGACAAUCUCCUGAACCUACCUCCAGCACUUUGCCUCUUGUUUGGGCUGUCCUAUGCGCUACACAUGGACUACCCUAAAGCCAUGAAAAACACAUUCAACUUCAUUCAACGAGUGAUGCUUGGCCUGGGAGAAAACAAACUCCCACCCAAACUUCAAACUCUUAAUAAUCUCCUGUUGAGUUAGAAUGGUAAAAAUCAAGAGGGACGUUUGGCAUACAAUCCCAUUUGUUUAUGAAAGUGGAUGCAGUUGCUUUUAAUUGUAAACUAAAUUAAGGCACUCCUUUCAUAUUGUUUUAUAUCAGCCACUGGGU